GAACGAUAUGGUUAAAUAAUAAACUGACUUGGAAGAAGCAACAGAACUUAUUAUGGACAAAGAGAGAUGCACAAUUUUUCUAAUCUGUUUAUUAUUGGUCGUUUCAUGCAUCGUUUAGGGUAAAAAAUUCCUAGAACAUGAGUUUGUCCUUGCAUAAUUAUCCAUGCUUGAUGGCACUACAUCGUAUCAGCAUACUUUAAGUUUGUCCUUGUAUUAUCAUGUAUUCAGGGGCAAAAAUGCCCAGAACAAAGAAAUGAUGAAUUGUAUUGUAGUCAUUCUUGUAGUUAAAUAUUAUGUUUAAAAUUGAUCAUCACUUGGGAUGUUGCCAACUGCAGGGUCGAUGAGACAUUGAAUUGCCAUAUUGCUUUUCCCUCUUAUUGACAUGUUAAGAAUAUAUCUUUAACAAUAGAAUUUAAUAUUUGUGCUUUCAGGUAGUAAGAGACAUGAUCAGAUCGCUGACCAGUGAUGAAGGCGUUAUGUGGUCGUUGACGUCAUGCUAAAUGUUGGUGUAGUGCCAAAUAAGAAGAUACGGAACAAAAUCCCUAAGCUAGACAUUAUGCGUGGAUGUAGGUGGAUGUGGGCGCUGUGGCCGCCACCAAGGAUGUAGGGGUCGCGCCCCAAGCUGCAAGUACGUGGUAGGGCGUCAAAACUGACGAGGACACGGGAGCUGCACUGCAGCAUGAGUGUUUUUCAUAAUUUAUUUAGUGGUGAAAUUUUCAGGCCUAUGAACUGGAUGAUAUUUUCAUUGCUGGCAAUCUUCAUCAACCUAUCUACGAGGACAUUGAUAUACUAAUUGCUGCACAAGUGUUCUCAGCACCGGCUAGCAAGAAGAGAGUAUGAUUGUUCAAUGCUCACUGUUGUAAGCUUGUUUCACGAGGAGCUUCUCAGUGUUGUACAUGUAGGGUGUGGAUAAUAUAAAUAAAAUCUAUUUGUUCA